GUGUUUCCCUUCGGCUCAAUAUUGCUCACGCACGCAAUUUUUUUUAUCACUAUAAUAACAACAACAACAACAAUAACACAAAAAACGGAGGAAAAAUCAGUCGCUCAUCGAGACCGCAAGAAGUUCAAAUUAACAGAUUGCAGACUCUUGGUCCAGUUAUGUUUUAUAUGAUAUGAUCAAUGUGAUCUAAGGAGCAAUUAAAUAAUAAUGCGAAUUGAUCGAGCUGCAAAAGUGCAAUUAUAAAAUUCCGCUUUCUCGCACCCAUGGAGAAGCUUGGAAACACAUGGUAAUAAUUGUAACACUCAGUGGAUGACGAUCAACUAUUGCUGGGGACCUGUAGAGGAUCAACUCUUGCUCGGUACAGGAGUAACAUCUGCAUGAGUCGUUCGUCCUUGUCUUUUUGUCUUGAGGGGAGUUAGUCGCAUUUAUUUUUACCUUUCUUUGUGUAAUGCACAUCAAUCUUGAAAUUUGUAGAAGAAGUUACGUCCAGGUACAAGUUUUUU